AUGCAUUGAUCUUGGACUUCCCAGCCUCCUGAACAGUGAAAGUGCUGUCACUGAAUGUGAAGUUGGGAAGCGACUCACAGAAUCAUCUCCCAUGAGCAGACAGCAUGUAAUGAAGAAUAAGGAGAAGAAAUAGAGAAGCAGCCAAUGCCCACUCUUCACCUCCACAGUCUGGGAAACCUAAAGGAGACCUAAGCUGGUGGGGUAGAGUUUUAAAAUGAAUAUUCUAUUACCAGUCCAAUGGCCACAGAAGUAAUAGUGCCAGAGCCUGCAGAUUGACUAACCUGUGCUAUUGUAAUCGCUAGACAAGUCUGUAAACUGAGUCAGCUGCAGGUCUGCUGACGCCACGCUGAGUGUCCAUGAGAAGACUCUCGCUCAGAUGUUUACAUGUGGUAGACACAUCUUGUUUUCAUUGGUUAAUAUUCCCCCUGGAAAUCCAACGGGGGUAGCAAAGGAUUGUAGAGGGACAGGUCAGGCCUAAGCAGUAGUACAGGGUAGUGUUUGCUUCUGGAAGAACCCAAACUAAGGCAACUCACCCCAGCACAAUACUUGGAGAAGAGGAAGACACUUUAUAUCAAGAAGACAGAAAAUGGCAAUGUUUCCUUCUUUCUCUCCAAAAAGACCACCAAUGGAAGCACGUCUCCCACUCAGAUCUCCAGACGCCCCGCCUGCCUUGGUGGUCCCCACCCACAACAGAGCCACCCACACACCUCCCUUGUGUGUUGACACAGUCACCUUUGGUUUGGGAUGUAGGGAAGGUGACACAAAGCGGCUUUCCUCUGGGUCUGGAACAGUGUUUGUUACUUGUGGGGCCCAGGGCAGGGAUCCCUCUUGCCUUGGUCUGUGACUGGUGCAGUAAUAAAUGUAGGGAAAACCAAAGUUCGUGCUGAGCUUUCCCUGUGCUACCAGCGCAAGGGGUAAGAGCACUGGGCGGUCACGGAAGGACACCGGAUCACUCGCCCUGCUUCCCAGGAGCCAAAACACGUGGAAGAGAGAUCCCUCGAAUACCCCAGGGCCCAGGGGUUGCCACAGGGAGCAGAUGACAGAAGGGAGCCCAGUUUUGCAGGGACCACCACAAUGGGGAACAAAGAGGAACAGACAUCUGAGGAAUGCAACCUGAUGCCAUCAGCAUGAGCAUGAGCGUGUGGCCAAGUCUGACGGCGCCAGCGCUGGCCCCUCACCAACAGGCGGGUGGAACCACCAUUGUCCACAAGGAGCCAACAGACACAUCAGCAGGAAGAGGGCGUGCAGAGCAGAUCUGUCCUGCUGCUUCCACUCUGUGACUAUACUCUAGCCAGGGGGUGUAAGGUAGAGAGGGAACUUUAAGUCACAUUCCAUGAUGCAUUAAAGUAAACUGGACUGAAUCUUUUUGCUCCCCUUUUUUAAAUUUCAAAAUAUCAUGGCGGGGGGGGGGCUACAAAUGUUUUCGGUUACAUGUAUCGAUUUUGUUAGGCUGGAGUCAGGGUUAUAAGUGUGCCCAUCACCCAGCGGUGUUCAUCGUACCCAUUAGGUAGGUUUUCAC